UGCGCUUUCCGGUGUGUCGUAA
rnacentral:siRNA from 1 species